rnacentral:rRNA from 1 species
AUGAACGCUAGCGGCAGGCCUAAUACAUGCAAGUCGUACGGUAACAUGAGUAGCAAUACUUGAUGACGAGUGGCGCACGGGUGCGUAACACGUAUGUAAUCUUCCCAAAACUGGGGGAUAGCCCACCGAAAGGUGGAUUAAUACCCCAUAACACAACGAACCGGCAUCGGUUUGUUGUUAAAUCUCCGGAGGUUUUGGAUGAACAUGCGUUCGAUUAGCUAGUUGGCGGGGUAAAAGCCCACCAAGGCUACGAUCGAUAGGGGUACUGAGAGGUUACACCCCCACACUGGUACUGAGACACGGACCAGACUCCUACGGGAGGCAGCAGUAAGGAAUAUUGGACAAUGGAGGCAACUCUGAUCCAGCCAUGCCGCGUGAAGGAUGACGGUCCUAUGGAUUGUAAACUUCUUUUGAACGGGAAAAAACCCUCUUACGUGUAAGAGGCUGAUUGUACCGUUAGAAUAAGGGUCGGCUAACUUCGU